rnacentral:rRNA from 1 species
UACGUAGGGGGCUAGCGUUGUCCGGAAUCAUUGGGCGUAAAGCGCGUGUAGGCGGUCCGGUAAGUCCGCUGUGAAAGUCGGGGGCUCAACCCUCGAAUGCCGGUGGAUACUGUCGGGCUAGAGUGCGGAAGAGGAGAGUGGAAUUCCCGGUGUAGCGGUGAAAUGCGCAGAUAUCGGGAAGAACACCCGUGGCGAAGGCGGCUCUCUGGGACGGUACUGACGCUGAGACGCGAAAGCGUGGGGAGCGAACAGG